rnacentral:rRNA from 1 species
GAUGAACGCUAGCGGCAGGCUUAACACAUGCAAGUCGAGGGCAGCGCGAAUGUUAGCAAUAACAUUGGCGGCGACCGGCGCAAGGGUGCGUAACGCGUGAGCAACUUGCCCGUUUCUGGGGAAUAACCGUUGGAAACGACGACUAAUACCCCAUAGCACAUAUUUAAGGCAUCUUUUAUAUGUUAAAGAAUUUCGGAUGAGGAUAGGCUCGCGUGACAUUAGCUAGAUGGCGGGGUAACGGCUCACCAAGCCGACGAUCAGUAGGGGUUCUGAGAGGAAGGUCCCCCACAUUGGAACUGAGACACGGUCCAAACUCCUACGGGAGGCAGCAGUGAGGAAUAUUGGUCAAUGGACGGAAGUCUGAACCAGCCAAGUCGCGUGAAGGAUGAAGGUUCUAUGGAUUGUAAACUUCUUUUGUCUGAGGGUAAAAAGCGGACGUGUCCGUUCUUGCAAGUAUCAGACGAAUAAGCAUCGGCUAACUCCGUG